CAAUAGCGUAUAUUAAAGUUGUUGCGGUAAAAAAGCUCGUAGUUGGAUUUCUACCGAAGAUAGCCGGUCGGGUCUUCGACCUUGUAUCUGGUUUUGUCUUUGGUAUCCUCAUAGGGAACGUUUCUGCGCUUUAUUGCGUGGGGCGGUAUCUAUGACUUUUACUUUGAGGAAAUUAGAGUGUUCACGGCAGGCAAACGCCUUGAAUAUAUUAGCAUGGAAUAAUAACAUAGGAUCUUCGUCCUAUUUUGUUGGUUUCUAGGGCUAAGAUAAUGAUUAAUAGGGAUAAUUGGGGGCAUCUGUAUCAACGCGUCAGAGGUGGAAUUCUUGGAUUGCGUUGCGACAAACUACUGCGAAAGCAUUUGCCAAGGAUGUUUUCAUUGA
rnacentral:rRNA from 1 species